GGGAGGAGGGAGGGAGGGAGGGAAGGAGGGAGGGGAGGGGGGUCCGCAGGGCAGGGCGGGGAGGGAGGGCACAAAAGAGGAGGGAGAAAGGGAGGGGGGGGGAGAGAGAAAUAAUAACAACAAAGUUAGCGAGCGGGACAGCCGCUCUCCCGCCCGCAACCAGGCUCAGCGGGGACCCUCGGAGCGCCCCGUGGCUCACGCCGCCCCACCGCUGCCCCCCUCGUCCCCACCGGGCUCUGGGGAGGGUGUGGGGACGAGGGGGGGCAGAGGGACGUGUCCCCUGGCUUGGCCGCCGCCGCUGCCCUUGUUGUUGUUAGCGCUGCCUCAAUGAAUGAGUCAUUUGACUCGGUUCCACCGAGAAAACAAUUAGCAGGGCGAUCCCUUGAAGGGGGCUUCUCCGGGGGGAGACGGGAGCUUCUCCGCCGGGAGCCCCGCUCUUUUGCUCGUCUCCAGCCCAAGGUCACGGAAAGGAGGAGGAGGAGGAGGAGGAGGAGGGAAGGCACCCGGGAGCCGGGGGAUGCGCAGGGGCUGGGCCCCGACGUGUGCGCUGUGAUGGGGUCGGGGCUGGGGGUGCUGUGCAUGGGGCAGGAGCCGGUGGCAGCGGGACGGCCCCGACCCCCAGCAGGUCCUUUUGGGGUCGGCACCGUCCCGCCGCCAGCCGGGCACCGCUGGCAUCCCGGGGCCGCCGGGGCACGGGCAGGCAGGCAGGCGGGCACCCGCUGCGUUUCGGGGGGGGAAGGAGCAGAAAGGGAAAGGGGACUCCGAGGGGUGACAGCGAGCAAAGCCUCCGGUGGGGGUCCCCUCCCUCAGCCCACCGAGAUAACCGCCCCCCGACCCGCGCAGCGCGCCCGGCCCCACGCCACCCACCCCCCGGCAGCCAGGGACGCCUCUCCCUAUCCCCCUGCGAGAUAACGGGCAGAUAGAUAAGGGCCGGCCAGAUAAGGGCUGCAGCCACCGGCAUCGGAUGUUUGCCCACCGGGCUUCCCCGGGGCUCCCCCGGGCCGGGAGCGGCUCGGCUCCCCUCGGAGGCCGGCCCCGGGGUGGGCUGUGCGGGGCGGGGGGGAGAUGGGGCCGGGGAAGCUCGGGGAUAAGAGAAAAAGGGCCGGGGCAAACCUGCAGCCGGUGGCCCUCAUGGGGCCGGGUCCCGGGGAGGGGGAAUGUUCACGUUUUCUUAGGGAUUUUUUUGUGCCCCGGAGGAUGUGCCCUUGGCUCCCGCUGUAAGGGAUCAGGUGAACGACCCCAAAUCUCCCGGUUCUUAUAAGCAGAGCCAUCCGAGAGGAAAAAACCGUGGCUCCUCCUUGAGCUGCCCCAGCCAUCAGGUGAAGCCAAAGCCGGCCGUAGGAUGUGGCCAAGCCAGCAGCAGGCGGAAAGUGACUGGAAAUUAAAAUAACUCGGUUCGCCAGAGGUUAUCAGCUGGGUAUCUGUCAUCAUCAGUCCCUCCAGAAAGACGCAUCCGCGGCCAGGGCUGCCAGCAGAGCUCAGCCCGGGCUCGCCGGGGCCGCAUCCAGCCCGGGGCCCGGGCCCCGCUUCUCCUGGGGGGUCGCAAGGCAAAGGCCACCCCGUGAUACGGAGCGAUUCCAGUCCCCGGCGGCUGUGACAUUGAAGCGGGCUGAGCCACCGCCGCGGGCACCGGCCCCGGAAACGCCACAAAGCAGCAGGAUCGGGCAAAAGCUCCCAGUGCGAUGUUUGCCGUGGGACCAAAUCCAUCCGUCCAUCUGUCUGUCCAUCCAUACAUCCAUCCACCUGGCGACACUGGCUCCGUUUUGCGGGGUUUUGCUCUGAAAAAACGGAGCAAACAGCACUGGGAAACAGCGUUGGGAAACAAUUUUGAUGACGAUUUAGCCGUUUUACCGAAGCGUCUGAGACCAAGGCUAAUUUAAAAGAAAAAGGUAAAAAAAGAAAAAUAUAAAAAGGAAAAAAAAUAUGAAAAAGAUGUAAAGGAAAAAGGUAAAAAAAAAAAAUAAAAAGGAAGAAAAAUGAAACAGAUGUAAAAGAAAAGGGUAAAAAAGAAAAAGAAAAAGAGGAAAAAAAUGAAAAAGAUGAAAAAGACGUAAAAGGAAAAGAACCGGCCACAAACCAGAUAACAACAAACCAACGAAAAUUGCGAUCUGACUUGAGCAAAACUCUUCCUUACUCCAAAACUACAAUUCUCAGAUUGUUCUUCCGCGGAUAAUGUCAAAAUUUUGGGGUUUGCUCCUGCUCGGGCUGACGGUUCAUUAGAAAACGUUAGAAUAUCUCCCAGAGCGGGUCCGACCAGUUCUGGAAAUUAAAAUCCUGCAGGAAAAAAAAAAACAACAACAGCACCAACAAGCCCGACGCCAACAAAUUCAAGGCACCACAUCAGAGGGCGGCAGGCUGCAGUUAGCGGCUCGGGGUAAUUAGGCAGCCCAUUAACAAAUAGCCUCGCUCCUCGUCGCCCUAAAAGGGAGGCCGGUGCCUCCUGCCCCGGGAGGCAGGCGCCCUGCAGGCAGGGUGGGGAUGCUAAAUAUAAAUAAAUACAUGAAUGUGCCGCGAUUUCCACUCCGUGCACGUAACGCCCGAGGUGUUCAUCCCCUUUCCCUUAAGCCUCCAGGAGCGAAGAGGCUGUGCAAAUAAUUCACUCUUUUCGAUUCUUUUAGGAAAAUGCUGCUUUGUACCGCCGUUAUUGCCGGCCGCAUUGCAUUUGCAACUAAUUGUUAAUGGACACCCGUAUUUUCAAAUAAUGAAAAGCGCAAUUAGACAGCCGGUUGUCCCCAAAGAUUGUUGUAACGGGUGGCUGCAAUGCAUCUUCCCGCUGCUGUUACUGGUGUCUUCUAAAAGGUCCCAGCCGAAUGAAUUUCAAGGCACCAAACCACUCUAUUUUACAUCCCGAUCAGAUGGCUACGAGUAAGAAGUGCUGCGGUCCGUUACACAUAAGGGUGGUUUUUACUCUCUGUAAUCAUUUCUUACAUUUAUUGUCACUGCUGGACAUAAUACAUGUGUAAGGAAUUAAAGCUUUAACACAGAA